rnacentral:rRNA from 1 species
AUUGAACGCUGGCGGCAGGCCUAACACAUGCAAGUCGAACGAGUGGCGGACGGGUGAGUAAUGUCUGGGGAACUGCCCGAUGGAGGGGGAUAACUACUGGAAACGGUAGCUAAUACCGCAUACCAUCAGAUGUGCCCAUAUGGGAUUAGCUUGUAGGGGGGGUAACGGCUCACCAAGGCGACGAUCCCUAGCUGGUCUGAGCGGAUGACCAGCCACACUGGAACUGAGACACGGUCCAGACUCCUACGGGAGGCAGCAGUGGGGAAUAUUGCACAAUGGGCGCAAGCCUGAUGCAGCCAUGCCGCGUGUAUGAAGAAGGCCUUCGGGUUGUAAAGUACUUUCAGCGGGGAGGCGUUACCCGCAGAAGAAGCACCGGCUAACUCCGUGCCAGCAGCCGCGUUAAUAC